rnacentral:rRNA from 1 species
AUGUUACCUAUGGUAACCGGGUUCAUGAAUUAUGGUCAACAAACAAUACGUGCUACAAGGUACAUAGGUCAAAGUUUCAUAACUACCUUAUCCCACACAAAUCGUUUACCUAUAACGAUCCACUACCCUUAUGAAAAAUCAAUUACACUAGAGCGUUUCCGAGGGCGAAUCCACUUUGAAUUUGAUAAAUGUAUUGCUUGUGAUGUGUUCGCGUAUGUCCGAUAG